UGAUGCAGCGACGCCGCGUGAGUGAAGAAGUAUNUCGGUAUGUAAAGCUCUAUCAGCAGGGAAGAAAAUGACGGUACCUGACUAAGAAGCCCCGGCUAACUACGUGCCAGCAGCCGCGGUAAUACGUAGGGGGCAAGCGUUAUCCGGAAUUACUGGGUGUAAAGGGUGCGUAGGUGGUAUGGCAAGUCAGAAGUGAAAACCCAGGGCUUAACUCUGGGACUGCUUUUGAAACUGUCAGACUGGAGUGCAGGAGAGGUAAGCGGAAUUCCUAGUGUAGCGGUGAAAUGCGUAGAUAUUAGGAGGAACAUCAGUGGCGAAGGCGGCUUACUGGACUGAAACUGACACUGAGGCACGAAAGCGUGGGGAGCAAACAGG
rnacentral:rRNA from 1 species